rnacentral:rRNA from 1 species
AUGAGUGCGGCGACGAGUCCGACCAGGGCGAGCUGGAAGAGGAGGCCCAGGAGCUCGCCGCCCCUCAUGGUGAGGGCGCGCCCGACUUGGAUGGUGGCCGCCAAGGCCAACACCAAUGAGGAUGUCGUCCUGGAGUUUGUCGGGGACCUCAUCCCAUUUGACAAGGCGCGUGCCACUACGAGCGCGUCCCCAUGGAUGGCGGGAGGUGGAGGGUGGUUUGUGCAGGAUGGGGAGGUGGGAGAAGAAGAACUCUGA